rnacentral:rRNA from 1 species
GGAGUUUGGGCCGUGUCUCAGUCCCAAUGUGGCCGUUCACCCUCUCAGGCCGGCUACUGAUCGUCGCCUUGGUGGGCCGUUACCUCACCAACUAGCUAAUCAGACGCGGGUCCAUCGUAUGCCGAUAAAUCUUUUCACACUGGAUCAUGCAAUCCCGUGCGCUUAUGCGGUAUUAGCAGUCGUUUCCAACUGUUGUCCCCCUGCAUACGGCAGGUUACCCACGCGUUACCCACCCGUCCGCCACUAAGUAUGGCAAGAUUCUGCCGAAGCUUCAUCAGCGCCAUACCCCGUUCGACUUGCAUGUGUUAAGCACGCCGCCAGCGUUCAUC